CACUCCUUGGGUGACUCGGACUCGGAGAGUGACUCGAGAGUGACUUGGACUCGUGAAUUGGUGACUUGACUACAACACUGAUUAGUAGUGCAUGACAGGAUUAAUGUGUCAACUGUCAUGGUUGUAAACAUACUGGUAAGGAAGAUAACAUUACUUUACCCUUUUGUAGGCUAAAGCAUGCUGUUAUCAAUCAUAAACUUGGUCAUUAUCUUCCAGUAUUUAUGAAUUCCUUUGAAAAAGUAGGCCUGCUUUGCUUACAAUUAAGUGUAUGCUUCACAUCAGACCUUUUAUGGGCACAGCCCAGAAACACACAACAAAACAACAAAAUCUUAGUAGUAAAACAAAGUAAGAUUUGCUACUUGGUUUUAAUGAUCUUGUUUGUUAUAUCCUUUUAAAUACCAGAAAACCAAAACAAAUACUUCCUUAACAAUGUUACAGCCCACAAAACCCUGAAGAAAAUACCCCAAUUUAUUUUGUUCAUUAUUUUUGUCUUUGCUAAAACAAAUAACUUUGUCUAUGUCAAUGUUAAGAUGUCAACCAGGGUAUUGAUGUAAUGGUUGUGUAAUGUAUUUGCAUAUGCUAGAUAUUUAUUUUCGAUAUAGAUACAAUUAUUGCUGUCAUCAUUAACUCUUCUUCCUUUUCAAUUUCUAUAGGGUUUUAUCAUUCAAGUUAUUUGGGAACAAAACGAAAGACAUUUUGACGGAAGAAAUAGUGGCAAAAGUGAAAGCCCUAGAAAAUAAUAAAGACACAUCUUUCCACACACAACUCUUCUGGGGCACUCUAUGCACUCAACUUGGGAUUCCUGUGAACACAAACAAUCAGUACAGAUUAAGAAGACAAUUUCACAAGCACAAACAAGAUGUCACAGUGUCAACGCAGCUGACCCUGGACAGUGGAAGCUCGCAAGAGGGAGACGAGACGACUGACCAAACAAAUCUGCACGACAGCAUUGACUGCUACUAUCGGAUUGCCAGUGGGACAGCAACAAAAGCAGACUUUAAGGUGCCUGUUCUGCAUCGCUGCCUGAGUCACAUCAUGAAGAACGCCAAGGAAAUGUCUGAAACAUAGUGGUUGCUAUCAAAGUGGCGAUAUGACUCUGCUCUGCCUGUUGCAAAGGAUGAUGUUUUACUCAGUGAACUUCCACUAGAUCUGCACGUCUUACAUGAAAGGCACAUAGGGUUAAGAAAACACACACAAAUAUUAAUGAUUGCACCAAAGAACUACCAUCUGGCCAUGCAUGUGUUUGGUCUACAACGGCAAGUAACUUGGAAGACCUUGAUGACAUGGUGCAAAGUACAGCAGUUGUCUUUUCAAGUCCGUCCAGAGGGGCGAAUGUUUACAAACAUUUGAACAACCUCCAGUCAUGGCUGUUAAAAAAAGGACUUCAGUUGGAUGACGCCGUCAUGUCUGAAACAAAUCCUGAAAACUUAGAGGAAAUCAAAGGAAGAAAGAACUUUGGGAAAAGAUACAGCGAAGUGAUUUCCAAAGCUCCACUUGAUACCAGCGGUGAUCCCAACGGUUACUACUGUAAAGGCCUUGUGGCUCACAUCAACCAGUACCUUCUUCCCUAUGCUGGAUUGUGGAGCGGGAUAAUGCUUGAACAUAACAAGACAACAAGACACAAGGCAUCAUGGAGAAGAGCCAAUGGGAUUUGAAACAUAUCCGCUUCCCAUCACGCAGGUUCAGCAGAAUGGAUGACUUUGUUGUCCAAUAUCAACAGAAACACAGUGCUAUGCUGGAGUAUGCCGACUCCUGGAGACUUUCGAAAGGUAGAUUCCUCAGUGACUGAGGAUGUCCUGGGAACACCCAGCGAUAUCUCUGCCCAGAAGCAAAGUUCACCCAUCCACAACAGUUUGACUUCAAAUGUAUAUUCAAUGGAAUAAUUAACAGAAUAUAUUAGAAAAUAAAAUAAUAAAAAGAGAUUAUUUUUGUA